CUUGCUCUUUUCAGAAUUGAGUGGCAAACGGGUGAGUAACACGUAAACAACCUGCCUUCAGGAUGGGGACAACAGACGGAAACGACUGCUAAUACCGAAUAAGUUCCAAGGGCCGCAUGGCCCAUGGAAGAAAAGGUGGCCUCUACCUGUAAGCUAUCGCCUGAAGAGGGGUUUGCGUCUGAUUAGCUUGUUGGUGAGGUAACGGCCCACCAAGGCGACGAUCAGUAGCCGGCCUGAGAGGGUGAACGGCCACAUUGGGACUGAGACACGGCCCAAACUCC
rnacentral:rRNA from 1 species